GAAAAAGCAAAUCACAGACAAGUGGGGUGGGAGGAAGGAGGUAGUGGAGUUUCACUUCUACAAAAUGAAAAAGUUCUGGAUACCAAUGGAGAUGGAAGCCGCACAACAUGGUGAAUUGCCACCGGUUUUAAACAAAAGAGACCGCUGAGUAAGACUCCUGGUGACGCCCUCCUGGUGAGCCCCGAGAGGCAGGAGUGGUUGGACUAAUUUGCAUUCUCACCAACUCUGACCGAUGAGCGCCCUCCAGUACUCCCGGUUUAGAGGAGUAAUUUCCCAGGACGUACUCCCACGGAUUCUCUCACAGCUACAAGUGACAGAAGACCCGAGCAACUUAAGGAACAGAAGAAAGUGACUGAUGGAAAUGAAAAGUUUAAGAGGCACUGAAAUCACUUCCAAAUGGAUCAGGGACCUAAAGGAAACAAAGCCGUAAAGAUUCUAAAUGGAGGGCAGGUGGAGAAGGCAGCUCAUUGCACCCUAACUGUAGAUGCCACAUGCUGGUGAAAAGGCUUCCUUGCGAAAAUUAACCCAGACAGAGUGGCAGCUGCCACGAAGAUGUGGGUGUGGUGAUUAGCAGCCACCAAGGGCCGAGUGGUGUGAGAUACUGGAGUCCUGUAAACGGGCCAAGGAUGCAGCCCUUUCCGACCCCUGGUGGACGUGUCCCAGAAGCUCUGCUCACCUGUGACCACCAUCCGUUUCCCCACAGUCGCAGACAGCGGCUCCUGGUAGGACAGGGACGCCAUAGUGACAGACUUUCUGGGCCGCUGGGACCAGGCUGGCUCCCACAGACUGGUGAAGCUGCACCACGAGACCGAAGACCUGCCCUCCCCGAGGAGACCUGGCUGGUUGCUAAGAACUCUUAUGACAAGAGAAAGGGUGUCCCAGCUACCAGCCCAGCAUUCCAGACUGCCAGCACCCACAGCCUCGGCAGUGGCUCCCCCGGGAAUGGCCUCAGCGAUGACUCUCCUUUUCUGUCCAGGGUCUCAAUAUGUGAUCCUCCCACCUCAGCCUCCUGAAUGCUGGGAUUACCGGUGUGCCCUCGGCAUCUUUGGUGUCACCCCAGGAUGAUGCAGCCACAGCUGCGAGGCAAGGCACAUGGAAUGUGGUUAGCACCACUCAGCGCCUCCCUCCCUCCUCUCAAAGGGCAGCAGCUCGGAUUCCCAUUCAUAGCACGGUGAAUGCCUGUGUUCGUAUUUUCAUGGAGCCUCAUGCAGAGUUUCUGUUAAACCUUCUGACUUUUGUCUAUGUGUUACUUAAGAAAUAAUAUCAACAAUUUACAGGUACUUUGUUAAUGUGAUUGAAUGUCUUGCCAUAUAUUUAAGGGUUAUGAGCAUUAUUUUUGUAAAGUGUUUAGUUUUUCUUUUGUGUAUUUGAAUAUUUUUCUAUCAGAUUGUAACUUUCUAAUAUCCUUCUUUUCAAAGAGUGAGCUAACCUGCUGAAGAGACCUGCAGAGUUUUGCCGUGCAGUGCAGCAAGUGUUACGAUGUCUGAGGGAACCCCCUCAGCGUGAAGCUGCUUUGUGCACAGAGCCUUUGGAGCAGAGGGGACCCAGCUUGGGACAGAGUGCAGGGCGAGGCAGGAGUUUCUGAGGAAAUGGCGUCUGAGCUAUGUUUAAAGGGUGACCAGGGUCCAGGUAAAGGAUGGAAAGCUAGAGCCUGGCGUGGGCAGGAAGAGAUUCUGUAAAGAAGACAGCAGAGCAGAGCAGAAGGCUCUGAGGGGGAGAAAUACCAUCCCACGGCACAUUACGCAGCACAAGCCCCAAUUCAACGCUGCUGGAGUCAUGACUAAGAGGGUGUCUUAGCCAACUUUCCAUCACGGUGGCGACUUGGCUUUGGUUUCAAACAGAUCAGUCCCUGCUCAGUCGGCCUGGUGGCUCUGGGGCUGGUGGUGAGCUGGUGCAUCGUGGGAGGCUCAUAUUGGGAAGCCAGGGUCCCCAUAUCCCUUUCCUGGGAAGGCCUCCAGGACCUCCCGAAGACCCCCACCUGUCCUGAUCCCACCAUGUGACAGGCUCGUGGGGAUCCUGGCCUAAGCUCUGCCUGAAGGUGAGCUGAUGACAAGGCCCUGCACCCUGGGCGAGCCACAGGCUUUGUUCCCCGUAGUGAGCACCCGGAAAGGCAGUGAGCAGGGCGGGGACUUGGUACUCUGUGAAGAACAGUCUUGAGGCGGAAGGCUUGGAGUCCCAGCGCCCUUGCAGGCAACUGGUGAGGUCAUCCAGGAAAUCUAAAAUGAGCCCUGAACUGGGCCUGGGGCCACAGGAAGGGAGGGGACGAAUGGGGAGGAGGUGGCAGAGGGUGAGAGCAACCCUGGCUUUCUAACUGGGUGGACUGGUAGCAGCACCCAAACACAGACAGAAAAUAAAAGACAGAAUGAGAUUUGGUCAAUAAAGCGAUCCUAGUAGCAAUGAGGAAAGGGACAGGGUUAACCGGGUAUGGGUUUGUGCUGUGUGUGCUGACAGCACACUAGCAAAGCAGUUAAAAUUACAGCCCAAAUUGCCAUAAAAUAUCAUGACAGCUACUGAACUCAUUAGAGGGAUCGAAGGGGUCUCCCAGGCCAACAGAUCACUUCUGUCAGAGAAAACCUCCGCUGUAGAUGAGUACAUGCAGCCUCUUGGAACCAAGCUCAGACUUUGCUGCUCAGAAGGAAUGAAAUUUUGCUAUUUUCUUGCUCUCUCUCAGAAUUUAACAGCCUUCAGAGUUGAUAACCAUUUAACAGUUAACAACUUGGAAGUUGACACAAAAAUACCUCCAUCUCACCUUUGGGAUGGAAUCAAGUUAUACAUUUUAAUGAUCUGAAAUGACACAAACAGGAAACUUUUAUAAUACAGCAGUACUAUAUACCUCCAAAUAAACAGAGGUCAGAGUUUACUACAAUUACAGAACACUAUUCAAAUACCUCUCCUGGGGCUAGGGACGUAGCUUAGUGAUAGGGUGAGCACUGAGGAGAGGCAAGGCCUUGAGUUCAACGAUGACACCAAAGAAAAAGUGAAAAAAAGUGAGUCGAGUAUCCCGUGGCUGGCACUGUUUCUAAUCUGCGGGGAGCCAGAGCCCCACACCGCGCGGAGCUGUCCUCCUCUGAGAUACAGUCCCCGCCUUCCCUGAAAUUUUUAGGAACAAAUUCUUGAAUGCCUUUCCUCUGGUGCCUGUUUUCAGAAAGCCAUCAGGAGGACACAGCCUUGCUAAGUCCCCGCACUGCCUCUGUGCACCUGCGAAUCACUGUGUAGUACAAGGAGAAUCCCUGUGGGGGAUUUGGAUACAUGGGAGGAGCUAACCUGUGCCAAGCAUCUGCCCACACCCUGAACACACACCCUCCUCACCCUGGACGGACAGCACGUAUAGCAGUAACGGUGUCACUGUGAUUCUCGCAGCUUCACUUCCCGUGUUGGUUUGCAGGACCAGCUCGUGAUCGGCGGUGGCCUUGCACCCACUGAGUGAGUCCUGCAGUAAGCGGCACCCAGUCGCCAUCUCUCGCCAGAUCGUCAACUCAGUUUCCCACAGCUGUAGGGAACCUAACAGGGGACCAGAAAACACCUAGACUUUUUGCGUAUGUGCAAUUUUUUUUUUAAAUAGUAAAGCCAUGAAACAUUUUAAUUGUUAUACUAUGUAUUUAAAAAUAAUGUAAAACAAAUGUUACAAGGCAGUGAAUAACCACUUCUUAUACACAUGACAAAUGUGUCAGCUGUCAGUGUUAAACACAAUCGCAGCUAGGACCAAGACUGUGCCCUUCUCCUGCUUCGAGUGGAUGCUCACUCGGUCCCAGGUGGUUGGUUCGGGACUAACCCAGGCCUUGGGAGUCUGGAUGUGGAGCCGGGAAAAAAUGCUUUCCCCGUGGUGUUUUGCCUCUGGAAAGAAUCUGCGUGUCUCUGCCCACUCAGUGUUAAAGGCACUGGGUGUCUCUUCUGAGGUUUUCAUGUUCUUCUUAUAGGGGGUAUAUGAUACCCCAAAGCCUCAUGUGGUCAUGGGGGAGUCACAGGGUUUGUGAUGGAUUCAUGGUCCAGUGCUGCUGGGAUUAUGGGUGUGAGUGCUACGCCUGCCCUAGGGUGGGUGUGGCCUGCAUACAAUAUAAGUGAGGGAAAGAGUGUUUGUUCCAUCCCCCCACUUUCUUGGUCUUGCUGCUUUUGCUGUUUUCCACCACCAUACAUUGUUCUCUUCUGACAUGCCACCUUGCUUUGGAGCCAGCUGAUUAUGAACUAAAACCUCCACGAACUGUGAGCUAAAUAAACCUUUCCUUCCUUCA